rnacentral:rRNA from 1 species
UACGUAGGGGGCAAGCGUUGUCCGGAUUUAUUGGGCGUAAAGCGCGUGUAGGCGGCUUCGUAAGUCCGUUGUGAAAGUCCAGGGCUCAACCCUGGAAUGCCGAUGGAUACUGCGGAGCUAGAGUCCGGAAGAGGCGAGUGGAAUUCCUGGUGUAGCGGUGAAAUGCGCAGAUAUCAGGAGGAACACCAAUGGCGAAGGCAGCUCGCUGGGACGGUACUGACGCUGAGACGCGAAAGCGUGGGGAGCGAACAGG